GUUUUAAUAAUUUAAUAUAAAAUACUGAUCUUGUAAAUCAGAAACAAGUUCAACUUUUAAAACU
rnacentral:tRNA from 1 species